GUAUCGUCCACCAGGCCUUUACUCUCAGUUUUCGGAUCAGUUCUCAGACUUCUUAUCUGAUUUGGUGUUAAACACUGACAAGGUUAUUAUAAUGGGGGGUUUUAACAUUCAGGUUGACACUGAAUGUGAUAACCUUAAUGUAGCCUUUAAAACUAUCCUAGAUUCAAUUGGUUUUGCUCAAAAUGUGCAUAAAUUGAGGCACUCUUGCCUUUAUACUUUGGACUUUGUGCUGACAUAUGGGAUUGAUUGUAAUGUUAUGCCAUAAGUACGCCAUGAUAAAUAAUUGAUCUCAGAUUGGAUCCUGAACUGUAGGGAAGAGGUGACAAAAAGAAUUCACUCCUGCUGCAACAUGAGACCCUCAAGGCUUGGACGGCCCCUCCUUCUCUCACCAGGGGUCCUGCUGUGAUAACACCUUCCUCCGAGAUCUCUUCAGCUCUCUUCUGCAGACCUCUCUUCAGCAUUCUUCUGCAGACUUCUUCAGCUCUACAGCAGCUCUCUCAGAGCAGACAAAGAAGGCCUGAACCAUGAGGGCCUGGUCGGCCCUGACCGACACACAAGCCAGCAGCUGAGGGAAGGUGCCUAAACCAGCCACGCUUGAUCCAGGGUCUGCUAAUGUCGUCUGCCGGCUUCAGCAGAGGACCUGACUGAAUCGGAAUGAACAACACACAAAAUACAGAGCUAAGUUGCUGUCCUAACUUCACAAUCAGAUGCAGGGGCAAAGAUCCUGCAUGCGAAACAGCUCUGUGUAUUUUUCCUCAGCCUGUACAAGGAAGCGAACCCCGAUGGAGCUGUAGGCUGGAUGCUGAGGAAAACCCCUGCUCAAAUCGGACUGCAUCCUGGUCAAAGAAUGUGGCCUCCAAGCUAUCCAGACCACGCCGUUAGCCACAUGCUGCUGCAAGGCUAACGUUAGCAUGCAAAGAGGCACACCAACAACUUCCUCCUUCAACGCUCCUCCCGUGAAUGGCCAAAACUGGACGGAACUGACAAAGGACAGAGACUUCCUGUGUGGAUUGCAUCUCUUCUCCACACGGCUGAACGUCUCAGAAGUGAUCAUGCUCGACGCAAGAAGGUGUACCGUCUCCUGCAGAGAAAACUGAGGUCUCAUGGUGUUGGUGUUAAGGAGAGUCAGUAUCAGCCCACCUACGUUUACCCUAAGGAAGUGAAAAUGUUGAUGCGCUCUGCUUUUCCAAAGGGCAUCUGUAACUACCCUAACCCUGACCAUGAUCAUGUGGUGUAUAUCACUGUGGAGGAUCUCCGUAACAUUGAAAACAACUGACGUUUUUGCCUUUCCCCCCUAUAUUGUGUUUGGAUGAGAAGAAAUUGGUUCUGUGGGGGGAGCAGGUUUAGUUGUUGGGUUCACUUGUUGGCACAUUUUAAGUUGUUCAAUCUUGAGACAUUUUUUUUGUCUUUGUGAUUUAAGUAAAAGAACACAACAAAGUUACUGCUUUAUGUUUCAUCUUUAACUGUUCCUCUUUCUGAAAGAUUUUUCCUAUUGGUAUUAAAAAUCAUUGCAAAAAAAAAUGUUCAUGCACAGUUCACCUUAAAGUUUUGGUUUAUUUUCCUUGGCUUCUUGGACAAUGUUGUGCAAUGACCUACUUAUAAGUUACUCAACGUACCUCAGUCUGCCAGGUAUUGUCCUGUGAAUAUCAGUCCAAUUUAGCUUGAUAUUAGAACAAUAUGUAAAAUAGGGAUUCAAGCCCUAGCAUUCUUAAAGAACUAUAUACACACAAAAGAACAAAUAAAAAAAUCUUUGAAAACCAUUGUAAAAAAAUAUUCAAUGAUUUUAAAGUUAAGCGAGGAUCUUUAAUUUAGAGAACAAAAGUACAUCUUAUGAUUUUGAAAUUAGCUUUACUAAUUUAGAACAACUGGCAUGUGUUCAAACUUUCACAAACAUUAUUUGAGAAAAUAAUACUUCAAAGAAUGAUUUGCUAAAUUAAAAAUCAAUAACCUUUAGGAUACUUGAUUUUUAAUCAGUGUAAUCAUUUUUCCAUAAAUAAAUUAGAUUUGGACUGGUAACUUCAGACGGUGAAGAGAAGCUUAAAUAGGAAGGGCAACUGGAAGUUAUGUCGGAAGAAAGUGAAACUGUCAUGAUCCCCAGGUGUUAGACUGCACAGUACCCAGAAACCUAAAUCAGAAAUCAGAAAUACUUUAAUAAUCCCACAGGGAAAUUAUGUUUGUUAAACGCUAAAAAGAGUCAGUUGUGUUUUUUUCACCUUUUUAAUAUUGUUUAUUAGUCUGUAGAUUCUCUUCUUUCCUUCUUGUUUCCUGUUUAGGAUGUAGUUAGUUUACUGUUUAUGGAUUUAGUUAGUGUGUGUUUGUUAGAUCUUUGUUUUCCUGCCUGUCAUUAGUUCAGUUAGUUGUUAGUUUCUUUUUAGCGUCUGUUUAUUUAUUGUGUUUUUUUUUUUAUCCUUGUUCAACUGCUUACAUGUCUAAUGUAUUUUCAGUGCAAAUCUGUUGUGAAAAACAGAAAGGUGAAGUGAAUUUCUGUAUUAAUGUUCUAUAGAACAGAAAUAGAUAUCAAAUAUGUUUGUCUUAGGUAAGCACCUUGUUUGGUGCAGGGUUUUGGGGGCCUUAAAACAUCCUGGACAAGUUGCAGUCACAGAGUGAACAGAAACCCACUCACACCAAACUGAAUAGAACAGAACCCUUAAUCUUGACUACUGGCAUCAGUAAGACUUUACUCAGCAUCUCUUCUUCCUUUUUAAACCCCUGAGCUCCUAUAUUCAUUGCUUUUGAACACUUCAGAAUGUGUGAUGAUCUUGGCACUGGUGCUGGUCUGAUCAUAACUCAGCACACCUGCCCUGCUCCACCCUGCCUGCAAUCACCCCUCACCGGUUCCACCUGUUCUCACCAGCAUAAAACCUGCCGUCUGACCAGCCACCAGGGCAGAUUGUCUCAAGCCACCCGCCCCGAACGGACUCUCUGUCUGCCUGUUAGCCACUCAACGGCCUCAGCCCUGAAAGCCUGGCCCGAAGUCGGAUCCCCACUCCAGACCUGUUUGCUGACCUCAAGCCGGUUCCCCAGGCUCAGGAGCCCCACCACCAGGGGAUUUCCAGCCCAGGAGCGAGCAGCGUGCUCCGAUUGCCAGCCUCUGUUUGUCUUUUAAUAAAACGUGUUUGAAACGUCA